UCCAAUCCAACAUAAACAGUUUAACAGUAUUACAGUAACAUGUCAAGUUAACAUAUUACAAAAUAGCUUAAGUACUUGACUGUCCAGUAAAUACAGCAACAAGAAGCAAAUACAGCAGCAAAUUAAUUGUUACAAAUUAACUGUCCAGUAAAUUAAACAGGCAGCAACAAGCCCAACAUGCAACAAGCCAACACUACUAGCUGACUUAGCAACAAGCCCAACAUGCAACAGGAUAGGCAGCAACAAGAAGAACUGAAGAAGCCAACAACAUGGUGUUUGUCUGUUUGAGAUAUCCCAAGUUCACAACAACAGCAACAGACAACACUACAAUAGGAACAAAAACCUAUUUUCCAUCUGGCUGAACCCAACCCUCGUGACUACCCAUGUAAUUGUUCCAUGUUGUUCACCUGUUAUCUGAAAAAACCUAUUUUCCUCUGUUCUUUCCAGAUUGAUAGAGCAAAAGAAAACAAAAAAAUAAUAUGAGCAAUCUAAUAUCUGAAGUAAAAUGAACAAAUCAAAGUAAUGGGGAAGGAGCAAGAGAUAGUGAAACACGAAAGAGCAUGAAAAGUAUAAAAAAGAAAACACAUUUAAUUAAGCACAACAAUAGUUAUAUAUACACACAUAUAUUUGAAAAUCUAAUACCAAGUGAACUAAUAUCCCCAAAUAUUUGGCAGUCGUUAGCUUUAGAAUGGAGGCAGGCCAAAUUGCUAAUUACAGUCAGGUAAUUGUAGAAUAAUUCUGUUUAUGAGCUUCAAUAGAACAUCAUUAUGCCAUCAGAUUCAGGGUAAGUCGAGAACAUACCAAGACAGACAGUGACCACUUAGACGUCAAGUCGGCGACGACGAGAGGCGCGAGAGACAGACUGUGACCACUGACCAGUGAGUUAGAGUCAGUGAGGGUCAAGACGAGAGACGGACUGACGGAGACCGCGUCGGAGACUGAGACGGGAAAAGGUGGAGGCCGCGCCGGAGAUUGAAAGUUGAGACUAUAGAAGUGUCGAGACUCGAUCGAGAGGGCAAGAGGCUGAGGAGUGACUAGUGAGGACUAAGGAGUGAGGAAUCGAGAAUUGGAGAUCUCAGUUCUCAGAUCAGAUCUGGAGUGGCGAGCGGGUUAGGGACUUGGGGCAAAAUGGGGGAAAACUCAGAUAUACUGAUAGUCGAUAGAAUAGAAGUAAUAAAAAUUCGGUUAUUCGGGUAUCCGAAUAAUAUGUUUUUGCAAACCGGAA
rnacentral:lncRNA from 1 species